AGUUGACCUCGAAUCAGGUAGGAAUACCCGCUGAACCUAAG
rnacentral:rRNA from 1 species